rnacentral:rRNA from 1 species
AACCUCCACAAUGUGAGAAAUCGCGACGGGGGGAUCCCAAGUGCCAUUCUUAACGGGAUGGCUUUUCAUUAGUGUAAAGAGCUUUUGGAAUAAGGGCUGGGCAAGACCGGUGCCAGCCGCCGCGGUAACACCGGCAGCUCUAGUGGUAGCAGUUUUUAUUGGGCCUAAAGCGUCCGUAGCCGGUUUAAUAAGUCUCUGGUGAAAUCCUGUAGCUUAACUGUGGGAAUUGCUGGAGAUACUAUUAGACUUGAGACCGGGAGAGGUUAGAGGUACUCCCAGGGUAGAGGUGAAAUUCUGUAAUCCUGGGAGGACCGCCUGUUGCGAAGGCGUCUAACUGGAACGGUUCUGACGGUGAGGGACGAAAGUUAGGGGCGCGAACCGGAUUAGAUACCCGGGUAGUCCUAACUGUAAACGAUGCGGACUUGGUGUUGGGGUGGCUUUGAGCUGCUCCAGUGCCGAAGGGAAGCUGUUAAGUCCGCCGCCUGGGAAGUACGGUCGCAAGACUGAAACUUAAAGGAAAU